AAAACGACUCUCGGCAACGGAUAUCUCGGCUCUCGCAUCGAUGAAGAACGUAGCGAAAUGCGAUACUUGGUGUGAAUUGCAGAAUCCCGUGAACCAUCGAGUCUUUGAACGGCCUUCUGGCCGAGGGCACGUCUGCCUGGGUGUCACAA
rnacentral:rRNA from 1 species